GAACGAACGCUGGCGGCAUGCCUACCCCAUGCAAGUCGAACGAGACCUUCGGGUCUCGUGGCGCACGGGUGCGUAACGCGUGGGAACCUGCCCUUAGGUUCGGAAUAACUCCCCGAAAGGGGUGCUAAUACCGGAUAAUGUCUUCGGACCAAAGAUUUAUCGCCUUUGGAUGGGCCCGCGUUGGAUUAGCUAGUUGGUAGGGUAAAAGCCUACCAAGGCGACGAUCCAUAGCUGGUCUGAGAGGAUGAUCAGCCACACUGGGACUGAGACACGGCCCAGACUCCUACGGGAGGCAGCAGUGGGGAAUAUUGGACAAUGGGCGAAAGCCUGAUCCAGCAAUGCCGCGUGAGUGAUGAAGGCCUUAGGGUUGUAAAGCUCUUUUACCCGGGAUGAUAAUGACAGUACCGGGAGAAUAAGCUCCGGCUAACUCCGUG
rnacentral:rRNA from 1 species